CAGCAGCCGCGGGAAUACGAAGGGGGCUAGUGUUGCUCGGAAUGACUGGGCGUAAAGGGCGCGUAGGCGGCGAUCAAAGUCAGGCGUGAAAUUCCUGGGCUCAACCUGGGGGCUGCGCUUGAUACUUGGUUGCUUGAGUGGGGAAGAGGGUCGUGGAAUUCCCAGUGUAGAGGUGAAAUUCGUAGAUAUUGGGAAGAACACCGGUGGCGAAGGCGGCGACCUGGUCCUUGACUGACGCUGAGGCGCGAAAGCGUGGGGAGCGAACAGGAUUAGAUACCCCAGUAGUCCCUGUCUCUUAUAC
rnacentral:rRNA from 1 species